AUUGAACGCUGGCGGCAGGCCUAACACAUGCAAGUCGAGCGAGCGGCGGACGGUUGAGUAAUGUCUGGGAAACUGCCUGAUGGAGGGGGAUAACUACUGGAAACGGUAGCUAAUACCGCAUACCAUCAGAUGUGCCCAGAUGUGAUUAGCUAGUAGGUGGGGUAACUGCUCACGUAGGCGACGAUCCCUAGCUGGUCUGCGAGGGUGACCAGCGACAAUGGAACUGAGACACGGUCCAGACUCCUACGGGAGGCAGCAGUGGGGAAUAUUGCACAAUGGGCGCAAGCCUGAUACAGCCAUGCCGCGUGUGUGAAGCAGGCCUUCGGGUUGUAAAGCACUUUCAGCGGGGAGGCGUUACCCGCAGAAGAAGCACCGGCUAACUCCGUGCCAGCAGCCGCGGUAAUUC
rnacentral:rRNA from 1 species